AAUCCCAUUGGAAUUACAGUGUACGAAUUCUGUAAUUAUUCUGAAGAAAUUAAAUUUGAUCUCAGUGUACUGCUGUCAUUCCACGUACGGAAGGUUUGACUCAAGCCGCUUGAGUAUAUUUUUGAUAUAUUAUUUGUUCAGUCGGUAUAAACAAAAUGGUUUUCUCGUUUCGAAUCACACAUUUUUAUGAAAUUUCAAUAUAUAAAUACAAUUUUUACAUCAUUGAUAUACAAAAAUAAAAGAGUGAAAAUAGGAGAUUUCAUGCCAGCGACAUUGUGAAGUGCACGGAAAGUCGAAUUCACACAUUAACUCUUAGAUUUAAGCAAAUUUCAAAUGUGAAGUUUGUAAUCUCAUGAAUUUCGUUCAAAUGUUCAAAUGAAUUUUAAGUAAAUUUGGUUGAAAAUGGUCAAAAACAACCAAACAUGGAGUUUCCAAAAAAAAAGUUGACAGAGACAUUGCUAAUAGUUGAAUGUGAAUGGGUUAAAUGGAUAAAGCCAAAUGCGUCAAUACAUUUCUGCAAUACGGGUUAAAAUAUAAAACUCUUUGCAGCGUUGAUGAAAUUGUCAAUUUCUUUCAGCAAUUCACUGGAUCAACAUCAAUCAGUAGAAGUGAAAUUUUUGCAGUCGACAUGAAGAGCUUUUAUAUUACAAUUUUGGUCAUUGCAACUCUUAUCGCAGUGUUAAUGACAGGAUGUGCAAAUGCUGCUGGGUGUGAUCUUGUCCGUUGUAUUGCUGGUACUGUAUGUAUAGAAGACAAAAAAGGUAAUGCAAGAUGCGUACCAACAUGCAAAUCACAUGCAGAAUGUGGCAGAUGUGGAUUUUGUUUGAAGAACAAAAAAGGAUCGUCUAAAAGUUGCUACUAUCGAUGUUGGGAUAAACUGUGUAUUCAAGGCACCAAAUGUAAAAUAACCGGUAGACCUAGACGUGGACAUUGCAUUUACCCAUAGUCACGAUUAUGUUCAGCAUCAGAUAGAGAGUCAAACCAUCAAUCAACAAUAAUAUAGAAUUUAAAACUCGAGUACUUUAAAAUGUUAUUCGAAAAUUAUAGAAAAAUUUUCCAAAUUUCUAGCUUAGUUUCAAUACAGCUUUAAUGAUUUAAGACAAGUUUAUUUAGAAAUAUCAAUUUUGGGCCAUUUGUUCGGGAAAUUUUUGAAAAUUGUUUAAACUUAUCCUAUAAGAAUAUUUUUGAUUGCAAACAAAACUGUCAGUAGCAUCUACGUUGUGAAUAAUAUGCAAACGCUGGAUGUGAUCAUUUACAUCAUUUACAUUUACACCUUCACACACACGGCUGCGCACAGAUUGCACAUUUUGCGCUAAGAGCGAAGAGUCAAGAGAAUAUAGUACCAUAUCUUUGAGACGAUAGCUCAUUCUAUGCACACUUACACACAGUAAAUUUAUUUCAUCACAAUGCAUUUUGUCUGUGACUGCCAGUUUUGUGUAGAUGUCGAAUUAAUAUUAACGACAGCUGUGUGGUUUGAUUGGAGUGAUGAUUUGAGUCGAAUAAAGAAACGAGAAACAUUUAAAAUAAACUUUCUUCAAGAA